CCGACACAGGUGGUCAGGUAGAGAAUACCAAGGCGCUUGAGAGAACUCGGGUGAAGGAACUAGGCAAAAUGGUGCCGUAACUUCGGGAGAAGGCACGCUGGUGUGUAGGUGAAGUCCCUGCGGAUGGAGCUGAGACCAGUCGAAGAUACCAGCUGGCUGCAACUGUUUAUUAAAAACACAGCACUGUGCAAACACGAAAGUGGACGUAUACGGUGUGACGCCUGCCCGGUGCCGGAAGGUUAAUUGAUGGGGUUAUCCGUAAGGAGAAGCUCUUGAUCGAAGCCCCGGUAAACGGCGGCCGUAACUAUAACGGUCCUAAGGUAGCGAAAUUCCUUGUCGGGUAAGUUCCGACCUGCACGAAUGGCGUAAUGAUGGCCAGGCUGUCUCCACCCGAGACUCAGUGAAAUUGAACUCGCUGUGAAGAUGCAGUGUACCCGCGGCAAGACGGAAAGACCCCGUGAACCUUUACUAUAGCUUGACACUGAACAUUGAGCCUUGAUGUGUAGGAUAGGUGGGAGGCUUUGAAGCGUGGACGCCAGUCUGCGUGGAGCCAACCUUGAAAUACCACCCUUUAAUGUUUGAUGUUCUAACGUUGGCCCCUGACCGGGGUUGCGGACAGUGUCUGGUGGGUAGUUUGACUGGGGCGGUCUCCUCCCAAAGCGUAACGGAGGAGCACGAAGGUUAGCUAAUCCUGGUCGGACAUCAGGAGGUUAGUGCAAUGGCAUAAGCUAGCUUGACUGCGAGCGUGACGGCGCGAGCAGGUGCGAAAGCAGGUCAUAGUGAUCCGGUGGUUCUGAAUGGAAGGGCCAUCGCUCAACGGAUAAAAGGUACUCCGGGGAUAACAGGCUGAUACCGCCCAAGAGUUCAUAUCGACGGCGGUGUUUGGCACCUCGAUGUCGGCUCAUCACAUCCUGGGGCUGAAGUAGGUCCCAAGGGUAUGGCUGUUCGCCAUUUAAAGUGGUACGCGAGCUGGGUUUAGAACGUCGUGAGACAGUUCGGUCCCUAUCUGCCGUGGGCGCUGGAGAAUUGAGGGGGGCUGCUCCUAGUACGAGAGGACCGGAGUGGACGCAUCACUGGUGUUCGGGUUGUCAUGCCAAUGGCACUGCCCGGUAGCUAAAUGCGGAAGAGAUAAGUGCUGAAAGCAUCUAAGCACGAAACUUGCCCCGAGAUGAGUUCUCCCUGAGACUUUAAGUCUCCUGAAGGAACGUUAAAGACGAUGACGUUGAUAGGCCGGGUGUGUAAGCGCAGCGAUGCGUUGAGCUAACCGGUACUAAUGAACCGUGAGGCUUAACCUU
rnacentral:rRNA from 1 species